rnacentral:rRNA from 1 species
GACGAACGCUGGCGGCGUGCUUAACACAUGCAAGUCGAACGGAAAGGCCCUGCUUUUGUGGGGUGCUCGAGUGGCGAACGGGUGAGUAACACGUGAGUAACCUGCCCUUGACUUUGGGAUAACUUCAGGAAACUGGGGCUAAUACCGGAUAGGAGCUCCUGCUGCAUGGUGGGGGUUGGAAAGUUUCGGCGGUUGGGGAUGGACUCGCGGCUUAUCAGCUUGUUGGUGGGGUAGUGGCUUACCAAGGCUUUGACGGGUAGCCGGCCUGAGAGGGUGACCGGCCACAUUGGGACUGAGGUACGGCCCAGACUCCUACGGGAGGCAGCAGUGGGGAAUAUUGCACAAGGGGCGGAAGCCGGAUGCAGCAACGCCGCGUGCGGGAUGACGGCCUUCGGGUUGUAAACCGCUUUCGCCUGUGACGAAGCGUGAGUGACGGUAAUGGGUAAAGAAGCACCGGCUAACUACGUG